AUACGUAGGGUGCGAGCGUUGUCCGGAAUUACUGGGCGUAAAGAGCUCGUAGGUGGUUUGUCGCGUCGUCUGUGAAAUUCCGGGGCUUAACUCCGGGCGUGCAGGCGAUACGGGCAUAACUUGAGUACUGUAGGGGAGACUGGAAUUCCUGGUGUAGCGGUGAAAUGCGCAGAUAUCAGGAGGAACACCGGUGGCGAAGGCGGGUCUCUGGGCAAUAACUGACGCUGAGGAGCGAAAGCAUGGGUAGCGGACAGGAUUAGAUGCCCUGGUAGUCGAUGCCGUAAACGGUGGGCGCUAGGUGUAGGGGUCUUCCACGACUUCUGUGCCGUAGCUAACGCAUUAAGCGCCCCGCCUGGGGAGUACGGCCGCAAGGCUAAAACUCAAAGGAAUUGACGGGG
rnacentral:rRNA from 1 species